UACGGGGGGGUGCGAGCGUUGUCCGGAAUCACUGGGCGUAAAGGGCGCGUAGGUGGUUUGAUAAGGGUGUGGUGAAAGUCCGGGGCUCAACCCCGGAUCUGCCGUGCCGACUGUCAAACUCGAGGGCUGUAGAGGCAGACGGAAUUCCGGGUGUAGCGGUGGAAUGCGUAGAGAUCCGGAGGAAGACCGGUGGCGAAGGCGGUCUGCUGGGCAGUUGCUGACGCUGAGGCGCGACAGCGUGGGGAGCCAAACAGG
rnacentral:rRNA from 1 species